UUUGCAACAGAAACAUUUGAUCUUUUUUUUGCAACAGAAACAUUUGAUUUAUCUUUUUUGCAACACAAACGUUUGAUUUAUCUUUUUGGCAACAGAAACAUUUGAUUUGUUAUCUUUUUUUUGUAACAGAAACAUUUGAUUUAUCUUUUUUUUUUUUUUGCAACAGAAACAUUUGAUUUGUAACCAAAGCCUAUUUAAUUGCAUCCGUCUACGCUCCCUGCAGGCGCCAUCGACAGUGGUCACGCAAGUCCGAGUCCCUCCGAGCUGGCCUGACGGAUGCUCCUGGCUGCAAACCCGGGCCGUCGCAGCCUGCCUGGACCCGGGUAAAAACCUCUUGCCAGAGGGGUGGGCGUCCGGCCGUGAGCGCAGGGCCCCGCCGUGGAGACAGAGCCCGCCUGGCUGGCACGUUUUUACAACCAGGUCCCGGUCGAGUCUCACGGCAGGACUCGGGGGCUCAGUGACCACAUGAGCCGUGGGCGCAACUGUAAGUGGAAGUUACCCUGGGUCCUCGGAGGGGCCGGCACGGCCUGGAGAAGGGGGAGCCGCAGGCAGACAGGGAGCACUCUGCAGCCCAAGACCCUGGACCCCGGGAUCUGUGACUCAGCACACAAAAGGGCUGCCAGGUUCCAGCAGGAUGAGGCAUCAGACUGUUUUCCAGCCAUUGGAGAAGCACAGAGUGUGCAAGCAAGAACGGACUUCCCCGAGGCCGACCAGCCCCCGGCCCCGACCCCGACCCCACGCUGAGCUGCCCCUUGUUCUGUGUCCGCGGCUCCCGCGUCCCGGCAUCAGGGCCCCUGCCCAGAUCCUGUGUGUGACUCCACAAAUGCAGCCACGACCUUUUGAGCUGGUGGCAUUCCCCCGAUGGGAUGCUCCCAGGUCCCGGGGGGACGCGUCUCAGAGAUGCUCCCGGGUCCUGGAGGACACAAGCCCGAGCUGUGGGGCUGGCCAGAGUCUUGCUUUAAAAGAUUUACACACAUCUGGAGCUGACCGAGAAAGAACUCGCUGAAGUGAACGCUCCAAGAAGUGGGAGGUCUCUUAUUUACAGCAGAGACAAUUAUGCCUCUUAUUCCUAAUUUGCAUUCGCCCUUUACGGGGGGAAAAAUGGUG
rnacentral:lncRNA from 1 species